GCAGUCGAGCGGAUCAAGGGAGCUUGCUCCCUGAGAUCAGCGGCGGACGGGUGAGUAACACGUGGGUAACCUGCCUGUAAGACUGGGAUAACUCCGGGAAACCGGGGCUAAUACCGGAUAACUCAGUUCCUCGCAUGAGGAACUGUUGAAAGGUGGCUUUUCGCUACCACUUACAGAUGGACCCGCGGCGCAUUAGCUAGUUGGUGAGGUAACGGCUCACCAAGGCGACGAUGCGUAGCCGACCUGAGAGGGUGAUCGGCCACACUGGGACUGAGACACGGCCCAGACUCCUACGGGAGGCAGCAGUAGGGAAUCUUCCGCAAUGGACGAAAGUCUGACGGAGCAACGCCGCGUGAGUGAAGAAGGUUUUCGGAUCGUAAAACUCUGUUGUUAGGGAAGAACAAGUGCCGUUCGAAUAGGGCGGCGCCUUGACGGUACCUAACCAGAAAGCCACGGCUAACUACGUGCCAGCAGCCGCGGUAAUACGUAGGUGGCAAGCGUUGUCCGGAAUUAUUGGGCGUAAAGCGCGCGCAGGUGGUUUCUUAAGUCUGAUGUGAAAGCCCACGGCUCAACCGUGGAGGGUCAUUGGAAACUGGGGAACUUGAGUGCAGAAGAGGAAAGUGGAAUUCCAAGUGUAGCGGUGAAAUGCGUAGAUAUUUGGAGGAACACCAGUG
rnacentral:rRNA from 2 species